rnacentral:rRNA from 1 species
UCGGGUAGUCCGCACGAGCGCACCCUCAUCCUUAGUUGCUAGCAGGUAAUGCUGAGAACUCUAAGGAGACUGCCGGUGAUAAACCGGGGGAAGGUGGGGACGACGUCAAGUCAUCAUGGCCCUUACGUGUAGGGCUACACACGUGCUACAAUGGCGCAUACAGAGUGCUGCGAACUCGCGAGAGUAAGCGAAUCACUUAAAGUGCGUCGUAUUCCGGAUUGGAGUCUGCAACUCGACUCCAUGAAGUCGGAAUCGCUAGUAAUCGCAUAUCAGAAUGAUGCGGUGAAUACGUUCCCGGGCCUUGUACACACCGCCCGUCACACCAUGGGAGUGGGUUGCUCCAGAAGUAGAUAGUCUAACCCUCGGGAGGACGUUUACCACGGAGUGAUUCAUGACUGGGGUGAAGUCGUAACAAGGUAGCCCUAGGGGAACCUGGGGCUGGAUCACCUCCUU